rnacentral:rRNA from 1 species
GUGAGGAAUCUUCCACAAUGGGCGAAAGCCUGAUGGAGCAACGCCGCGUGAGGGAUGAAGGUCUUCGGAUUGUAAACUUCUUUUAUGAGUGAAGAAUAUGACGGUAACUCAUGAAUAAGCACCGGCUAACUACGUGCCAGCAGCCGCGGUCAUACGUAGGGUGCAAGCAUUAUCCGGAGUGACUGGGCGUAAAGAGUUGCGUAGGCGGUUAUGUAAGCGAAUAGUGAAACCUGGUGGCUCAACCACACAGACUAUUAUUCGAACUGCAUAACUCGAGAAUGGUAGAGGUAACUGGAAUUUCUUGUGUAGGAGUAAAAUCCGUAGAUAUAAGAAGGAACACCAAUGGCGUAGGCAGGUUACUGGGCCAUUUCUGACGCUAAGGCACGAAAGCGUGGGGAGCGAACCGGAUUAGAAACCCGAGUAGUCC